UCUAAAAAGAAAUUUAUGUUUUCAUUCGAGACAUUUGUGUGAAAAUGGCGUUGGCCUUCAAGGAGACGAGAAGGAGAAAACCCAACUCGUUUCAUCCGAAUAGACUUUGUUUCAACAGGCAGAUGUACAUGAUACAAAACAUACAACGCAUUCAUGAAAUCAACACAAACGAAACACUGAGCUUAUGCCAUGCAUUUGGAAUGAUUUGCAUCGCAUAACCACUCCGC